ensembl:lncRNA
CAGAAACCUAAUUUAAGUGUUCUGCUGAAACCAGACCCUCCUUCCCAGAACUGUACAUCUGUAGCAGAAGUUGGAAGAUCCAGAAUUCAGUACAGGAGUUUCAGGCCCAACUUCUAAUUCAUGAUGAGGUGAUUCUAAUGAGCAGCCACAAUUGAGACUCACUAGAUGCUCACAAACUGAGAAAUACUCCAAGCAAUACCAAGUUUAUUGGCUUGAUGACAAUUCAAGAAGAGCCACAAGAGAGAAGGAAAUUGCAUCACUGAAACACCAUCAGAGGAAACAUGCCUGUGUGAUUUCACAUGAGUGUGAGCAAGCACUAAAUGUCCACUGUGCUAAGCAACUGAGAUGUGGGGGAUGUCAGUUAGUAACGGUGCUAACAAACAAGUGGCAUUGGUUCCUUUAUCAAAUUGAUGUCCACACAAUAUUAAUGCAGAAAAACAAAUGUUGAUGCUGCCACUGUUGUCCAGGAGAAUCAGUACCUGGGCAUCCUCAAUAUGAUCCCACUUGGAACUGGCUUCUCACCAAGGGAACAUUCAUUCCCCCAUCAGAG